rnacentral:lncRNA from 1 species
GUGCUUGCAUAAGAUAACAAUAAUUUUUAUUUCAAUAAAGAUAUGUGUAUAAUUUAUUUGAAAAAUAAAAUUAUUGCAUAUGCUUUCUUGAUUGAUGGUCUUUAUCAUUUGCAUAUGAAUGUGACUAUUAAUAUUAAUGAGCAAACUAUGAAUAUCAUAGGGUUUAAGAGACUUAGAGAUAGAAUUAGCCAAAAGUAUUUGUAGCAACUUAGGAUAGGC